UCCAGAGGUUUUAAUGUCUCAAGGAGGGACUGGUUAUUACGGUCGUGAGUGUGACUGGUGGUCUGUUGGUGUUUUCAUUUAUGAGCUUCUAGUGGGCGACACUCCAUUUCAUUCCGAGUCUCUGGUGGGCACAUAUGGAAAGAUCAUGGAUCACAAGAACAUCUUAACUUUCCCAGAUGAUAUUGAAAUGUCAAAGGAUGGCAAAGACCUCAUCUGUGCCUUUCUGAGUAGCAAGGAGGUGAGGCUUGACCGGACUGGAGUGGAUGAAAUAAAAUGUCACCCCUUCUUCAAGAACGAUCAGUGGACCUUCGAAACCAUAUGAGACACAAAAAAAUGCCAAAAACAGACACCCAAAACCCUACGCAUGCUGCGCGACACAGGGGCGUGAACCUGCAGGACCCAGACGCACAGUCCACUCGAAGCUGCUGUGGGAACUAAAGGCCUGUCAACACUCCAUCAUGGGAGACCACGACACCUUCUCCUCCCUAAAAUCCCACCCUUCACCCUUUCACCUCCCAAGACGGAUAAGGAAAGAGAAAGAAAGAGAAAGGAAUACCAGGAAGAGCUCGAGGAAAACGCCUCACUCAUGCCACAAAGAGAUUUUUCAAGGAAGACUUCUGGUGGACGGGGCUGAAAGCGAACGGACGAUGGAUUCUGUCAUGUCUGGCAGUAAAUAUGGAUUCUGUAUUACUUUCAAGUCAACAAGAAUUUCCACCUCAGUUCAUCCUCAUUAUGCAAGCACCAUGUAGAGAUAAAGGAUUGGAAAAGAGAUAAAGGAACACAGAAUGGACUGAAGAGUUAUAAUUAACCAACAAACCUUCCCAUUCUCAGGCCCUGGAAGGGUCCGUAAUGCCCCUUUUAACAUUCAGAAGUCUUCAAGCAAAAUCUACACUGAGUAUCCAUAUGGUCUGGGCUCUCCCAUUUAAUCUCAACUCUAACACUGGAAGAAAGUCAGCACCUUAAACUUAAACUAACCCUUCAGUUAUUCAUCUAUGAGCCACAUCUACUAAAUUUCUAACACAAAGGAACACCGAAGCAGAACUUCAUAUGUUUUAUUUCAGCUUUAUUUAUUACCUUUGUUUGAACUGGUCUCCCUUUGCGCAGCUCUUCAUUCAUCUCUGACCUAAAAAGUAUUGAAGAAAGUCAAUGUUGUCUUCCCUAUCCCAUUUACUUCUCCCCACAGCAUUGACCUCAAAGUUCAGUGUUGAUGUUCACAAAACAACAGCGAGCUCUACGAUGCCUUCUUAAUCUUCUUUUAGCUUUGUGUAAACUACUGUUUGAGAGUCAACAAAUUAUUACAUAUAUUUGCACCAAUCAGACUGAUCCAAAAUCAUUUUGCUUCACGAUUAAUUGCAAAAUAUCAUUACACAUUUAGUUGUCUGGAUGCGGAAGUCACACAACACCAGUCUCAAUAUGUGUUAUUAAAAAGCAACAAAAAAUAUUCAAGCACCCACUAAUCAACAAAGUGAAUGAUUGAGCACUGGGAUGGCAAAUAUUGUGGGAAUGCAGAUUUUUGCCCACAAAGCCCCUGAAAAAGUGGAAAAAAACAGAAGUGCCUACUCCGUUUUUUCCGUGUUCUUUGUUUUGGGCUUGAUUGAGGUCGGCUGACCAUCUUAAAAGUAGCGGUUUUGAGACGAUCCCGAGGUAUACGGGCAAUAAGCUGUGAGAAUAACUUGCGGAGCGUGCUAGUAAACAGAGGAGUCGUUUCAGUUUUGUUUUAUGAAUGCUGUUUGUUGAUGUGUAUUAAAAAGAAUUUUAUUUCAGAUUGAUUUUAGUCAGUAAUUUAAUGGGUUACCAAUACAUUUAUAUGGUCAUUUAGGGAAUGAAUUAGGUAUCAUGAUAAGGUGUCACACAGCUAGAAGUCAUUUGUCAUGUGUCUUCAGGUCCACCUUUUUUGUGGAAUAAGAUCUGAUCUCGUUAACACCUCUGUCAAUUUUAAAUAAAGCUGUGCUGUUCUGCUAUGAAUGAAACGUG